CCUACGGGAGGCUGCAGUGGGGAAUAUUGCACAAUGGGGGAAACCCUGAUGCAGCAACGCCGCGUGAGUGAAGAAGGCAUUCGGGAUGUAAAGCUCUAUCAGCAGGGAAGAAAAGGACGGGACCUGACGAAGAAGCCCCGGCUAACUCCGGGCCAGCAGCCGCGGGAAUACGUAGGGGGCAAGCGUUAUCCGGAUUUACUGGGUGUAAAGGGAGCGUAGCCGGCGACUCAAGUCUGAAGGGAAAUGCAAGUGCUCAACACUGGAACUGCUUUUGAAACUGUGUAGCUAGAGUGCAGGAGAGGUAAGUGGAAUUCCUAGUGUAGCGGUGAAAUGCAUAGAUAUU
rnacentral:rRNA from 1 species